AGCGAACGCUGGCGGUAUGCCUAACACAUGCAAGUCGAACGGCAGCACAGUAAGCGCUUGCUCUUACGGUUGGCGAGUGACGGACGGGUGAGGCGUACAUCGGCAUCUACUUUUUCGGGGGGGAUAACGUAGGGAAACUUACGCUAACACCUCAUACCACCUACCGCUGGAAGCAGGGGAUCUUCGUACCUUUCGAUAAUGAAUGAGUCGAUGUCGGAUUUGCUAGUUGGCUGGUGAAAGGCCCACCAAGGCGACGAACAGUAGCUAGUCUGCAAGGAUGAUCAGCACAACUGGACCUGAAACACGCCCCAGCCUCCUAGGGGAGCAAGCAGAGGGGAUUAUUGGACAAUGAGCGCAAGCCUGAUCCAGCAAUACCGCGUGGGUAAAGAAGGCCUUCGGGUUGUAAAGCCCUUUUGUUGGGAAAGAAAAGCAGCAGGUUGAAAACCCGCUGUUCUGACGGUACCCAAAGAAUAAGCACCGGCUAACUUCGUG
rnacentral:rRNA from 1 species